rnacentral:lncRNA from 1 species
AGACCCGGUGGGCACAAGGCCUCUUGCCUGUUCCUCACUUCUCAGGUCUCUGUUGGUGAGUCCUCCAUGUGCUGUGGGUCUGCAGUGUGCUCUCUCGAGGUCCUGUCCCUCGAGCCCCUCAGAGACUGAUUAAAGCAGCUGCAUGGUUGGGAUCUUGGGCAAACUUAAGUAUAUAAGAGCAUUUUUCCAAUAAAUUGUAUAGUUUAUCCAUGCUUUAUAGAAAUCCUGAAGCUUUAAAGGUGGGUAUCUGAGAAAUUUUCAAAAGAAUUGCUUGCGUGGUUUAACUAGCUUGGCAGCGGGUCUUUCCCCCUAGACACUAAUAGAUGGCAGUGUUACUCUAUAAAAGCUUUUCCUAUGACAAAAUGGUUCCCAUCCAGAAGCAAGCAUUCAGAAGGAUGAAAAUAAUGAUGUGUUCAUUUUCAAACACCUUAUAUCUUAUUGUAAACAUCAUUAAAGAGUGGUCUUUUCAAAGGUUGUGUGAUUGAGCUGUGACUCUUCCAUGAGAGUAAGUGCAAAGGCUCUUUGGAGAGAUCAUAUAAUCCAGCCUCUCUUCAGUUCCUGCAACACCCCCCAUUUUGCAAAUGAGGACCAGGACUUGCGGACAGUAGAAGGGGCAUUGACUUGUUCAGGAUCUCCAAGGGGCAGCUAGUGGCAGGUCUGAAACUAGUACUUAGAUCUCCUGAUUUCCAAGCUAGAGCCCAUUUCCCUACUCUUCCCCCACUCUUAACUCCCCAUCACCCAACAGCCCCUACUGUUUCAGCUUUUUUUCCCCCUUAAAAGUCCAUGGUGUUUUGUUUCAGGAUGUUUUGUUGUCUAGCACUCCUUUCCCUUUGACCAUUAUGUUUUUACAAUUUUGGUUUCAUCUCAGUUUACCAUGGUUUAGAGUCUGGUUUUAUCAAUGUACAGUUACCCAUGACUGGGAUCCAGUGGACUUUGGGCCAGUGGCUGGGCAGCAGUUAUUUCCUUGCUCGUUUUGCACUGUGGCACUGGCUGGAUCAGCAGGCAGCCAGUCCUGCUGAGGCUUUGCCUCCUAGUCUCCUUUCCUUACUUUUCUUGCCAGCUCCAUCCUCUUCCUAUUGCCCUUAGUCUAACCACCAUCUUCAAGUUUGUGUUUAUCGUUUGCUUAUAUUUACAAUUUUAACAUAUAUAUUUGUAUUCCUGCACAAUAUUCUUUCAGUUUUUAGCCUGCUUUUGAACUUCAUAUAAAUAGAAUCAGAUUUUUUAUAUUCAUCCAUGCUGUCAUAUAUCAUCCAUGUGUUCAUUUCAUUCAUUUUAUUUCUAUUACAUUAAUUGCUUUUUUCUGAAAUUUUGCUUUUUACUAUGGAACUAUUUUUCAAAUACAGUGAAAACUUGAGAGUCUGGUAGUGACUCCAUAUAACUCAUCACCCAGUUAUAUAACAGCUUUUAACUUUUUGCCAUAAUCGUUUCAUUGUCUUCUCUCUUUAUGUUUUUUCAUCAUCCUCUCAACUAUCCUAUGAUUUCACCCUAAUACCAAACGCUUUACCUACUCCCAGGACUGAUAUUUCAGCAAGCUGGAAAGAAAGGAAAGUACAACAGGGCUCUGGGGGCCCUGGUCCCAAGCUGGAGUGAAGAAAUGUGCCCUCUCAAAAGUAUAGCCCCUCUAAAACCAAAGCCCCAGGCAAGCCAGAGAUAAAGCCUUCCUCCAAAACAGUAUUAUGGGGCGUUUUCAGAGGCUGGCAGGUUAGAAAACAGCCGCUGCUUGCUCACUACAAGCUGUGCUUCUCCCUACUGCCCAGUCUAAGAAGCAGAGUCCUGGUGUUACAAUGGGUUGCCCAAAGUGACUGCAGGGUAAGCUUCAGGAUGAUUGUUGAGCAAGGUGAGCUUUCUCCUGUGAGCAAGGAAUUAGCCACAGACUGAACACUGUGGGGGACCUGUCUUUCUGGCUCACUCCUCACCCCUCCUCUUUUACAGUUGAGAGAACCAAGGAAUGCGUUGGGCAGUAUUCCUUCUUAUACUCAUGAUAGCCAUUUGACGUUCCAGGUUUAUGUGUGUGUGUGGGUGGGUGCUUUCCCUUGGACUCCCCAUCUCGAGUGGUCCUUGGGCUUUGUCUCUUGCCCCAGAACUCCUAGGCUGUGGCAACAAUCAAAGCCUGAGCUCACUUGAUCUAGCAGAUGUCCUUUUGGCAAAUCCCAGCUUCGGAAGCCUGCUUUAACCACUUCCAUUUCCUGCUGUUUUUGGCUUCUGAGUAUUCCUUCUUUUCUUGCUAGCACAUCGAUUGGUUAAAGAAUUUUUUUGCAAUAAUUUGAUCCAGAAUUUUUAUUCUCAGCAGAAGAGUCAAUCAGGGACCUACCAUCCCCCAGGUAGGUAGUGGAAAGACUGUGGCAGCCUUUGUUGUCUUUUGUAAAACUUAAGGCACUUUGUUUUUGCAGGAUUAAUCACUCCUGAAGAUCGGAAAUAUGGAACAACAAAUCUUCACUUAGAUGUAUCUGAUGCAGCUAAUGUCAUGGUCUAUGUGGGAAUUCCCAAAGGACAGUGUGAGCAAGAAGAAGGUAGGGUGCUGAGCAUAAAAGGAGGGCUUACUCUUUGAGCCAGGGCUUGUGGUCUGAUAUCUGCUUUCUCUUCUUGCUCUAGAAGUCCUUAAGACCAUCCAAGAUGGAGAUUCUGACGAACUCACAAUAAAGCGAUUUAUUGAAGGAAAAGAGAAGCCAGGAGCACUGUGGCACAUAUAUGCUGCAAAGGACACGGAGAAGAUAAGGGAAUUUCUUAAAAAGGUAUCAGAAGAGCAAGGUCAAGAAAACCCAGCAGACCACGAUCCUAUUCAUGAUCAAAGCUGGUAUUUAGACCGAUCAUUAAGAAAACGUCUUCAUCAAGAGUAUGGAGUUCAAGGCUGGGCUAUUGUACAGUUUCUUGGGGAUGUGGUGUUUAUCCCGGCAGGAGCUCCACAUCAGGUUCAUAACUUAUAUAGCUGCAUCAAAGUGGCUGAAGAUUUUGUUUCUCCAGAGCAUGUUAAACACUGCUUCUGGCUUACUCAGGAAUUCCGAUAUCUGUCACAGACUCAUACCAAUCACGAAGAUAAAUUACAGGUAAAAAUAGCACCAAUUCCUAGCAUUCUUUGGCUAUGGCUAUGGCUUCAUGGCCCAUUCUUCACCUUAUAAAGAGAGUCAGUGAACUUGGCCAUAUCGUACUUAGUACACAGUGAGUCGAGGAACUUGCUUUAUAUCUAGUACUACUAUCUACUUAAGUGAGGGAGGAACAAGAGGAAAUCUCACCUUGGUUUGAUUUGAUAUUGUUUAGAAUCUAUAAGGGACUGUCCCCACAGAGAAAGGCCUUAGUACUGAAAAUGAAUAGAUGUGACUUCUGAUCUUGGCCCAGCUGCCUGUCGGGGUCUUGAACACAGUGCUUAACCUUCAGUGCUGCAGUGUUCUCAUCACUCUUAGGUAGAGCAGAACUGAAUCUCUGAGACUCAAAGAGGUCUGAGGGGGUGGUAUUUUCAAAAGGAUUUCAGUAAUGAAUUAUGUAACAUAAUUUCAUGUUUGGAAAAUAAGGGAAAAAUGAUAAAAGCUGUACCUUGGAACUUGCCUCUCCCUGUACUCACUGUGAGUAGGUCUACGUGGUAUCAAAACCUCUAAAAGGGGGAAAAUGAGUUCUUGAAAUCAUGGGUUUAAAAUGUAUGUGAAAUACUGGUCUGAAGGAGCCCAGGGACCUUUUGCAAUGUUGACAUUUCAUACGAAUAUUGAAUUUUAAAUUCUGAGAGAAGGUAAUAAAAUUAGUAGGAGGAAGCUUAUUCUUAGUGACAGGUUUUAGAUUUAAAUGUAAAAUGCCCAUAUUUUCUCCUACUAUUUUUAGGUGAAGAAUGUUAUCUACCAUGCAGUGAAAGAUGCAGUUGCUAUGCUGAAAGCCAGUGAAUCCAGUUUUGGCAAACCUUAAUCUCCCUGCACAUUGGAAAUGAAUUACAGGCAGCUGUUCAAACUCUUCAGGCAGGAUUCCUGUGGACUUUGAGAUUCAUGUUACCUCAUCUUCUUUUUUAAACUGUACCCAACUUGUGAGGGUACUCUGUCUAAUGUAUAUUUCUAGUGUUUACAGACAGUAAAUGUGUAUAUGUAGUAACUAUUUACAGAACAUGCAUCCUUAAACUGUGACUUCUCACCUAGUGCAGAACUUUUACCAGGCUGUAAAAGCAAAACCUCGUAUCAGCUCUGGAACAAUACCUGCAGUUAUUCUUCAGCUGUUUGGACAACUUAGAUUGGGUUUAUAACUAUUAGGAAUCACUGCACAGUUUAUUUGGGUUGUGUUUUGUGUCUGAGUCCCCUCCCUCAUCCCUUAGGGUCCAGAAGAGCAAUGGAGGAAGUGACAGCUAAUGUUGCAGUUCUUAUUGUAUGGCAUAGGACUGGCAUUAUAUAGCAGAAAUCAACUACUGUACAAUUUCUUGGGGUUAACCAUCUUUAGUUAAAUGGAAUUUUAAUUUAAAUGACGCUUUGCUAAUUUUAAGUGUUAAGCAUUUUGCAUUAAAAUAUUCAUAUAAUA